UGCUAUAUGUCAGUUGCAUCUCAGUGAAGUUGGGAAAAAAAUAAGCAUCUCAUUCUUUUACCAGGACAACCUGUGCAGAGGAGUAAGUUGCUGAUGAUCAAACUUAAGGCUGUUUUAACACAUGAAACAGUGAUGAAAUCCUAGAGGGUGUAUUUCAACAGCCAUGGUCCCCUCUACCACUUGCAUUCCUUUAAGUUCAUGUGAGAAAGAGGAUGAGAGUCUGGUGAGAGUGCAGUCAGUCUGGGAGAGUCAAAUGCAGUUUUUUCUUCUAGGUAGAUGGGGCCCUGGAUAAUUGGACCCAGGUGCCUGGAAGAGAGGCCACAAAGCUUUCAAGGUAUAAUCAAGCCUACUUAAGAUUAUAAACAGCACGUGUCCUUUGCUUGUCAGAGCGCUCUCAGCCUCACCUCUGACAGGACUCUCCAGUUCUUUCCCUUCAAACAAAAGUCCUCGCCUCCUCCUGCUGUUUCCACAACCCAGUUCCCAUGACUUUUGUUCUUCCCACUGCUGAAGGGAUUCUGCUUCAAUCCCUUUUCCCAAUCCCAGAAUCAAUCAGAUGCAUCUCCAGUGUCAAGGAUUCCUGGCAGGAGCCCCAAAUGGGCAAGAGUGGAGUCCAGGUCCUCUGCACAGAUGGAGUUGGCCCUUGGCGGCCCUGCACAACACAAGAUCACGGCAGGGCCACGAUCUUGGCUAACUCCACAGUGGCUGUCAAGCUCGCAGUACAAUGCCUGGCAUACUGGAGUUCAAAAAACCACACCAAGGACUCAUCACAGCUGACACCUGACGCUCACAGGUUAAGAACAUGCAAUUUUGAUGAAUCUGCCCAAACUUCAGCACCCAUGAAAUUCAAGUCUUUCAUUUUCUGGAAGCUCAAAUUUGAAUUUCCUCUUUGUGAGGCUAAUCCGUGGGAAAUAGUCAUUGAGCUGAGUCCACUGUUCAAUUUCAAAGCAACUUGGUGUAUUUGGACAGGGAUAUAAACUCUCCUCAGGGGACAGAAGGAACUCCUAACAUUCUCACUUAUACCCUGCUGUAAUUUCUGGAGGAAAUUAUAUGCUAUGCAGUGGUCCCCAAACUUUUGACCCCAGGGACCGGUUUCGUGGAAGACAACUUUUCCACAGAUCAGGCGGAGGGGGAUGGUUUUGGGAUGAUUCAAGUACAUUCUAUUUAUUGUGCUCUGUCCAUGGAAUUCUCCAGGCAAGAGUACUAGAGUGGGUAGCCAUUCCCUUCUCCAGCGGAUCUUCCCGACGCAGGGAUCAAACCUGGAUCUCCUGCACUGCAGACAGAUUCUUUACCAUGUGAGCAUCAGGAAAGCCCUGACUAACUUUUAUUUCCAUUAUUAUUACAUCAGCUCCACCUCAGAUCAUCAAGUGUUAGAUCCCGGAAGUUGGGGAUCCCUGCUAUAGAGGCUAGGAACCCAGGAGGAGCCUGGGAGCCCAGCAGGCAGCAAGCACAGUGUGCAUUUGGGGAUGGAGUGACCCUGCCGUGAUCUGUGCAUGAGGAGGGAAGGCAUCCACUUUUUUCUCCCCAAAUGAAUAAAGGUCUCCUGUAGAGCCCUUUUACAGAGACGUCCAACCAGAUUAAGCAGUCAGCAAGGCACCUCACUAAUGGGUCUGAAACUUGGCAGCAGGCCUGGGACCAGUGUCAAAGGAAACAGAUCCAAAAGGCACACGGAGAAAGCUUUCCAAGGGCUUGACAGGGAGCACUGAACUCUGACAGCAGCCAGUGAGGGAAGGCUCAAGUUCCAAGCCUGAGAGAGUUGGGGGCCAGACACACCUUGGC
ensembl:lncRNA